AACGAACGCUGGCGGCAGGCUUAACACAUGCAAGUCGAACGCCCCGCAAGGGGAGUGGCAGACGGGUGAGUAACACGUGGGAACAUGCCCAAAGGUACGGAAUAUUCUCGGGAAACUGGGAGCAAUACCGUAUGUGCCCGGAAGGGGAAAGAUUUAUCGCCUUUGGAUUGGCCCGCGUUGGAUUAGCUAGUUGGUGGGGUAAAAGCCUACCAAGGCGACGAUCCAUAGCUGGUCUGAGAGGACGACCAGCCACACUGGGACUGAGACACGGCCCAGACUCCUACGGGAGGCAGCAGUGGGGAAUCUUGGACAAUGGGCGCAAGCCUGAUCCAGCCAUGCCGCGUGAGUGAUGAAGGCCCUAGGGUUGUAAAACUCUUUCGUGGGGGACGAUAAUGACGGUACCCCAAGAAGAAGCUCCGGCUAACUUCGUGCCAGCAGCCGCCGUAAGAC
rnacentral:rRNA from 1 species